GAUGAAGAACGUAGCGAAAUGCGUUAAGUAAUGUGAAUUGCAGAAUUCAGUGAAUCAUCGAAUCUUUGAACGCACAUUGCGCCCUCUGGUAUUCCGGGGGGCAUGCCUGUUCGAGCGUCAUUACAACCCUCAAGCUUUGCUUGGUAUUGGACAUUGCCAGUUUCUGGCAGGUCUUAAAAUCAGUGGCGGUGCCAUUUGGCUUCAAGCGUAGUAAUUCUUCUCGCUUUGGAGAUCCAAGUGGUUACUUGCCAAUAACCCCCAAUUUUUUCAGGUUGACCUCGGAUCAGGUAGGGAUACCCGCUGAACUUAAGCAUAUCAAUAAGCGGAGGA
rnacentral:misc_RNA from 1 species